rnacentral:rRNA from 1 species
AUAGCGUAUAUUAAAGUUGUUGCAGUUAAAAAGCUCGUAGUUGAACUUCAGACCUGGCCGGGCGGUCCGCCUUUCUGGCGAGUACUGUCUGGCUGGGCCUUACCUCUUGGUGAACCGGCGUGCCCUUUAUUGGUGUGCGUCGGGGAACUAGGACGAUUACCUUGAGAAAAUUAGAGUGUUCAAAGCAGGCACAUGCCUGAAUACAUUAGCAUGGAAUAACAAAGUAGGACGUGCGGUUCUAUUUUGUUGGUUUCUAGAGUCGCCGUAAUGAUUAAUAGGGAUAGUUGGGGGCAUUAGUAUUCAGUUGCUAGAGGUGAAAUUCUUGGAUUUACUGAAGACUAACUACUG